ACUGGGGCUCACUUCCAAGGCCCUCCCAUCUUGUAGCUCCUUUUGUGUUGAGCAGUCGAGCCAUGGACAAGGAUCUUGGGUUGGUGAACACCGGCUGGUCUUAAAAGUGAAUCGUUUCCAAAUACAACACUGUGAAACUGACUGUUCUGUGGCUGCCUCUGUUUAGGAAAGCCAUUGCCAUGAGCUUCAUGGAUCUGCGAACCAUUUACUUUAGGGGAAUACAUAUCAGUGACAUUUACCUUGGACUAUGUCUCCAUGCCUGUAAAAACAAGAGGAUGGCAGAGCAGAUCAGGUGGCAUAGGCCAUCCAUUCCACUUUCUUGGUCUGGUUGACGGCCAGGCAGGAGAUGAUAGAGACCAUUGAAAACUUGACCUGGAAAUACUGUGCGUCAUCUUAUAUGUAUCCAUCAGGACAUCAGAAUUCGACAACCCAGUGUAUGCUUUCAGGAUGUUCCUGAGCACUUUGUUUGAACCAGCAAGAACUAUGGGUCCUGAUGAUCAAAUCUCAACCUUGGAACUCACAGGAAUUCACAUCCUAGCAUUACUUUGGAGAGGAUUCCUAAUACUUACAUUGCACCAGGAAAUGCUUUGUUGCCUUGACUGGAUGUUUUCAGCAUCUCUACAUCUUCAAAACAGAGAUAAUUUUAGUCAUAUACAAGCAGAUGGAGGCUGAAAUUGAAUUGCUGCUGACUGUUGUCCCCUGUUAUGGCCUGUGGAGAUAUGACAAUUGAGGAAGAACUUAAAAGAAUGCCAAGUAACAGAGCAUGAAGCAGUGGGUGUGACUGGUGCCGAAGACAUUUUAUGGCUGAUAGUAUUUGGCAAGAAAAAAAUAUGCAUCCUUGACUGUAGCUUUGCAAAAUAAAUUCCACCAUCAACCAUGCCUCAA